UGUUUAUGCUCUCCUGAAUAAAAACCUCUUGACCUGGGAUUUAAAACAUCAACGGAGUCGAUCUGAGAGGGAGUUCCACAGACGAGGAGAAACACCUUGGAAGGAGACAUCUCCUCGAGGCUUUAAGUGGGUUUUUGGAAUGGUCCAUAGAUUUUGGUUGGAAGACCACAAGGACCGGGCCGAAAGAGUCUGGGGUUAAAAGAAAAGCCUGGGAGCGAGUGAGAAACGGUGAUGCCAUCAAACCCUGGGAAACCAGAGCGCUGGAAGUGCAUGUCAGAGCGCACUAAAAGAGGAGGGAAACGGGCAACAACAUCAAGCUGGAUGCAGCGGCUGAAUUAAUCAGGAGGCUGGGAGUGCUCUUCCUGCU